rnacentral:rRNA from 1 species
UACGUAGGGUGCAAGCGUUGUCCGGAAUUAUUGGGCGUAAAGAGCUCGUAGGCGGUUUGUCGCGUCUGCUGUGAAACGCGAGGCUCAACCUCGCGCCUGCAGUGGGUACGGGCAGACUGGAGUGCGGUAGGGGAGAUUGGAAUCCUGGUGUAGCGGUGGAAUGCGCAGAUAUCAGGAGGAACACCGAUGGCGAAGGCAGAUCUCUGGGCCGUAACUGACGCUGAGGAGCGAAAGCGUGGGGAGCGAACAGG